UACGUAGGGUGCGAGCGUUAAUCGGAAUUACUGGGCGUAAAGGGUGCGCAGGCGGCGGUCGCAAGUCAGGCGUGAAAUCCCCGGGCUUAACCUGGGAACUGCACUUGAAACUACGAUGCUGGAGUAUGGCAGAGGGAGUGGAAUUCCACGUGUAGCGGUGAAAUGCGUAGAGAUGUGGAGGAACACCGAUGGCGAAGGCAGCCUCCUGGCCAUACUG
rnacentral:rRNA from 1 species